rnacentral:rRNA from 1 species
ACGGAGGGUGCAAGCGUUAUCCGGAUUUACUGGGUUUAAAGGGUGCGUAGGUGGGCUUGUAAGUCAGUGGUGAAAUCUCCGGGCUUAACCCGGAAACUGCCAUUGAUACUAUAGGUCUUGAAUUAUAUGGAGGUAAGCGGAAUAUGUCAUGUAGCGGUGAAAUGCUUAGAUAUGACAUAGAACACCAAUUGCGAAGGCAGCUUACUACGUAUAUAUUGACACUGAGGCACGAAAGCGUGGGGAUCAAACAGGAUUAGAUACCCUGGUAGUCCACGCCCUAAACGAUGGAUACUCGACAUCAGCGAUACACUGUUGGUGUCUGAGCGAAAGCAUUAAGUAUCCCACCUGGGAAGUACGAUCGCAAGAUUG